rnacentral:rRNA from 1 species
CCCUUAGAUGUCCGGGGCCGCACGCGCGCUACACUGAAGGAAUCAGCGUGGCUUUCUCCCUGACCCGAAAGGGUUGGGAAACCCGUUGAAUCUCCUUCGUGAUAGGGAUUGGGGCUUGAAAUUGUUCCCCAUGAACGAGGAAUUCCCAGUAAGCGCGAGUCAUAAGCUCGCGUUGAUUACGUCCCUGCCCUUUGUACACACCGCCCGUCGCUACUACCGAUUGAACGGUUUAGUGAGGGCCUCGGAUUGGUCACGGCCCGCUCUUUACCGGGCGGCGCCGUUGGUCGAGAAGACGCUCGAACUUGAUCGUUUAGAGGAAGUAAAAGUCGUAACA